rnacentral:rRNA from 2 species
UACAGAGGGGGCAAGCGUUAUUCGGAAUUAUUGGGCGUAAAGGGCGCGUAGGCGGCCCAGCAAGUCAGGGGUGAAAUCCCUCGGCUCAACCGAGGAACUGCCUCUGAAACUGCAGGGCUUGAGACCGGGAGAGGGUGGUGGAAUUCCCAGUGUAGCGGUGAAAUGCGUAGAUAUUGGGAGGAACACCGGUGGCGAAGGCGGCCACCUGGACCGGUUCUGACGCUGAGGCGCGAAAGUGUGGGGAGCAAACAGG